UGAGUGCUAAGUGUUGGAGGGUUUCCGCCCUUCAGUGCUGCAGCUAACGCAUUAAGCACUCCGCCUGGGGAGUACGACCGCAAGGUUGAAACUCAAAGGAAUUGACGGGGGCCCGCACAAGCGGUGGAGCAUGUGGUUUAAUUCGAAGCAACGCGAAGAACCUUACCAGGUCUUGACAUCCUUUGACCACUCUAGAGAUAGAGCUUCCCCUUCGGGGGCAAAGUGACAGGUGGUGCAUGGUUGUCGUCAGCUCGUGUCGUGAGAUGUUGGGUUAAGUCCCGCAACGAGCGCAACCCUUAUUGUUAGUUGCCAUCAUUCAGUUGGGCACUCUAGCAAGACUGCCGGUGACAAACCGGAGGAAGGUGGGGAUGACGUCAAAUCAUCAUGCCCCUUAUGACCUGGGCUACACACGUGCUACAAUGGGAAGUACAACGAGUUGCGAAGUCGCGAGGCUAAGCUAAUCUCUUAAAGCUUCUCUCAGUUCGGAUUGCAGGCUGCAACUCGCCUGCAUGAAGCCGGAAUCGCUAGUAAUCGCGGAUCAGCACGCCGCGGUGAAUACGUUCCCGGGCCUUGUACACACCGCCCGUCACACCACGAGAGUUUGUAACACCCGAAGUCGGUGAGGUAACCUUUUUGGAGCCAGCG
rnacentral:rRNA from 1 species